CCUACGGGGUGCAGCAGUGAGGAAUAUUGGUCAAUGGGCGGAAGCCUGAACCAGCCAAGUAGCGUGCAGGAUGACGGCCCUACGGGUUGUAAACUGCUUUUAUACGGGAAUAACGCGCCUUAAGUGUAGGGCUUUGCGUGUACCGUAUGAAUAAGGACCGGCGAAUUCCGUGCCAGCAGCCGCGGUAAUACGGAAGGUCCGGCCGUUUUCCGGAUUGAUUGGGUUGAAAGGGAGCGUAGGCGGCAUGAAAAGCGUGCUGUGAAAUGUCCGGGCUCAACCCGGGCCUGGCAGCGCGUACUGGCGUGCGUGAGUCCGCGGAAGGCAGGCGGAAUUCGUGGUGUAGCGGUGAAAUGCUUAGAUAUGGCGAAGAACCCCGAUUGCGAAGGCAGCUUGCUGCAGCGGAACUGACGCUGAUGCUCGAAAGCGCGGGUAUCGAACAGGAUUAGAUACCCGAGUAGUC
rnacentral:rRNA from 1 species